rnacentral:rRNA from 1 species
UACGAGGGGGGCAAGCGUUGUUCGGAAUUAUUGGGCGUAAAGAGCGUGUAGGCGGCCAGAUAGGUCUGCUGUGAAAACUCGAGGCUCAACCUCGAGAUGUCGGCGGAAACCAUUUGGCUAGAGUCCGGAAGAGGAAAGUGGAAUUCCUGGUGUAGCGGUGAAAUGCGCAGAUAUCAGGAGGAACACCGGUGGCGAAGGCGGAUCUCUGGGCCGUAACUGACGCUGAGGAGCGAAAGCAUGGGGAGCGAACAGG